rnacentral:rRNA from 1 species
AUUGAACGCUGGCGGCAGGCCCAACACAUGCAAGUCGAGCGGAGCGGCGGACGGGUGAGAAAUGCCUAGGAAUCUGCCUGGUAGUGGGGGAUAACGUCCGGAAACGGGCGCUAAUACCGCAUACUAUGAGAUGAGCCUAGGUCGGAUUAGCUAGUUGGGGGGGUAAAGGCCUACCAAGGGGACGAGCCGUAACUGGUCUGAGAGGAUGAUCAGUCACACGGGAACUGAGACACGGUACAGACUCCUACGGUAGGGACCAGUGGGUAAUAUUGGACAAUGGGCGAAAGCCUGAUCCAGCCAUGCCGCGUGUGUGAAGAAGGUCUUCGGAUUGUAAAGCACUGUAAGUUGGGAUGCGUUACCAACAGAAUAAGCACCGGCUAACUUCGUGCCAGCAGCCGCGGUAAUAC